ensembl:lncRNA
CCCCAAAGCUAGCGCUCGUAGCUAAUUUAGCUGAGGAGCGCGGGGGAGACAGCCCGAUAAUAGUGGGGAGGGAGGAGGAGGAGAGCGUUCUGAAAACUCAUUAAAACACUGCAGGAGGAACAGAGGGUGAACUCGGCCUGAACUUUCACAUGAAGGAGGAAUGUGUCCUUGGAGCGGUGGAGGGCAUUACGCCGCGUUGUCUCCCAGCGGUUAUUUAUACCACUUAGUAUCUUGAGAGACAGCGGGCUGCAUCCGCUCCCAUGUAAACAUUAGCCCGGGCUACGCCGCACGUCACUCACACUAGUCGUCAUGAUCCUUCCUCCUCACCCUGCUUGCUUAUAUUAGAAUAAUUCCCCCCGGUCUCCGGGCAGAGAACAUUUAGAUACGCUGUGUUAUCCCGCUGGGGGCCCAAGGGUAUUCAAGAGUUCAUUGGCCAAUCAAAGCAGCAGCGCCCUUACUGUCGCUCCCACCUUUUGUCGCUGACUGUUGGCCAAUCAGGGAAUUUGGCGAGCUCAGCGACGGGCUGGGACGGAAAACGAGUUAAAGCGCUGAAUGGAGGCCGACGACUGAAACGUUUUCUAAUAAUUUAGCAUGCUGACGUUGACGGGACCAAGGUUGAGCUCAGAGGAGGGGAGACGCAAAACACUACACGGGUCAUUUUCUUUUAACCAUUUAUAAGUCAGACACACACACACACACACACAUAGUGCUAGCAACAAUCAGUUGUCUCUAAUUUAACACAAACCCCACUCAUAGAAUUAAUUCACUCAGUGGUGGAAGCCAAUUUGGCAUCCCAUUACUUCCAGGCAUGGCGUAAUGGCACUUAUGCAAACACACCCUUGACACCCCCUUUUUCUCCUCCUCGGUUCUGCACACUAGCGCGCUCUGGACUGCGCGCUUUACGGCCAUUAUGAGUGACAUCAUGUUUGCGUCGUGGCUAGCUAGGGGCGAUGUGUAUAACACCUUACGAGUCAUUACCAUUACAGAACGCUCCUCUUUCCAUCGCCCGGUGAGUUUAAUGACAUUUUUAAUCAAAUGAGCAAACAUUACUCAUUUCAUGGUUGAGGUGGACAGUGAGUCAGGGAGUUUUUAAAAGCAGUUUGUGGAGAAUUUCUUGGCAGCCUAAGGUGCAGAUUAUUAACACAGUUUAACACUCGUGCCCUUGUGAGUUUUUAUCACCCCUGUCCUGCCCUGGUACCUGCCUGCCUAAUCUUCCAUUACAGGUGACCCCGCCUCCUCAGUUGAAUUGACCCCGCCUCCUCAGUUGAAGUUGACCCCGCCUCCUCAGUUGAAGAUGACCCCGCCUCCUCAGUUGAAGUUGACCCCGCCUCCUCAGUUGAAGUUGACCCCGACUCCAUAGUUGAAGUUGAUCCCGACUCCAUAGUUGAAGUUGACCCCGCCUCCUCAGUUGAAGUUGACCCCGCCUCCUCAGUUGAAGUUGACCCCGACUCCAUAGUUGAAGUUGAUCCCGACUCCAUAGUUGAAGUUGACCCCGCCUCCUCAGUUGAAGUUGACCCCGCCUCCUCAGUUGAAGUUGACCUCGACUCCAUAGUUGAAGUUGACCCCGACUCCAUAGUUGAAGUUGACCCCGCCUCCCCAGUUGUAGUUGACCCCGCCUCCUCAGUUGGAGCUGAACCAGCCUCCUCCUUAGUUCAUUCUUCUGAUCUGCGGAACUGUUACCUCAAUGGUCAACUUUAGAGAGACUCGUCCCCUGAAAUACAGUACUCAGAUGAUCAGAUUAUUAUUUGAACCAUACAAAUGCACCAAUUCUGGUCUUUGACAUGGACUGUUCUUUCAAGUUUCCUUGUGACCCUGCUCCCUCAACCCAGCUGUGUGUUCAUGGGCGAAAUGCAGAGCUUGGAAACCGGUUGCUUUCCCUGCCCCAAAACGCGUAGUUCCCUCCUCUAACUCCCUGUUGCUGUGUGUUGUUCAUUGAUUUGUUUUUAACCCUGCGUGAACAAGAGC